rnacentral:tRNA from 1 species
GCCUGGGUGGCUCAGUGGUUGAGCAUCUGCCUUUGGUUCAGGGUGUGAUCCCCGGGUCCUGGGAUCGAGUUCCGCCUCAGGCU